rnacentral:rRNA from 1 species
CAGUAGCCGCGGGAAUACAGAAGAUGCAAGCGUUAUCCGGAAUGAUUGGGCGUAAAGCGUCUGUAGGUGGCUUUUCAAGUCCACCGUCAAAUCCCAGGGCUCAACCCUGGACAGGCGGUGGAAACUGUCGGGCUUGAGAGUGGGAGAGGUGAGUGGAAUUUCCGGUGUAGCGGUGAAAUGCGUAGAUAUCGGAAGGAACACCUGUGGCGAAAGCGGCUCACUGGACCAUUUCUGACGCUGAUGCACGUAAGCUAGGGGAGCAAACAGGAUUAGAUACCCCGGUAGUCCCUGUCUCUUAUAC